GUUCUGUACCCAGUGGUGAAGUUCUCCCUGAGCAAGCCCCUCUGAAGGAAACUCAAAAAAAGCAGCUUUUUCUGGCAGCUGCCCCAUURUGGAGUUGUGCCUUCUGGGUCAGAGAUGAAAGGAGCUGGCUGUAACCCUGUGCWACUGAAACCCUUUUUCCAAAGGUCUGGACCUGAAUCCACUGAAUGUCUCCAGCAUGUGCUGAUCAUUAAACUGGAGUUAGAGUCAUGAGAAAAUGCACUGGAAAACUUGAGGCUGGCUCUGAAUUGCCAUUCAAGCWGUACGUGUGAAGAGAGGCUACCAGGGUUGUCUCUUGUCUGUUCAUACAGAGCCUUGCACAGAGGCAUCAGCUGGACUUGGAGGAUGAAGCAUCACCUAUUACCUUCUUCAGCUCAAGGAAAUGAUGGAAAAUGAGCCAAAAGCAUCGUGUGAGUCAAGAGGCRCAGAAGUGCUGCCAAGCAUGAUUCCCACCAUGGCAGGAGUGGCUCCUGGAGUGGUGAAUUCCAAAUUCCCCAUUUAAAAUCAUGUACUUGAAACACCCUCAAUUUGAGUGAAGUGUUGUGUUGCUGGGACAGCUGUACAGCACCUCCUGGAGCCAGAGUUCACUAAUACUGAAUAUUCAGUCUGGAUAAAGGUAUGCAAAUGAAAUAAAUUUAUAAACAACUGUAUUUUAA